GCAUGGUGAGAAGUCUGGAGGGGGCCCUUGAGGCCACGCUGGGAGACAGGAGAUGAGGCAGGAUGUUUUCUCAGAAAAGCCAAGGCCAGAGAUGAUGGCGCCUGGAGUAGUGUUGGAGAGAUGCUGUUUGAAUGGACAGUACCUGGUGAUGGACUGCAUAUUGAGGCUGUCAAGGGAGGCCUGGGAACAGAGAGGAUCAAGAGUACCAGAAGCCAGAAACUCAAGUGAGGGGGUGUUUCCAGAAGGAGCACUGCUGAGAGACCUAGAGUGCCCGGAGCCUGAGUGACGUCCACUGAAUCGGACCAUGAGGGUGACCAGGGAUGGUCUGGAAAGAAGGGGAUGAAGAGCCCAGUCCAGCUUGAGAAGCAGCCUUGCUGGGGUACCUGGCUGGCUCAGUCAGUGGAGCAUGUGACUUUUGGUCUCGGGUUGUGAGUGUAAGCCUCAUGUUGGAUGUAGAGAUUACUUACAAAUAAAAUUUUAAAAAAAUUUAAAAAGAAGGAACUCAGAUGAGCCCAGGGAAGGGAGGGGAACUGUGCUGGCUUGAAGAGGACAGAGUU